UAGGGAAUCUUCGGCAAUGGACGGAAGUCUGACCGAGCAACGCCGCGUGAGUGAAGAAGGUUUUCGGAUCGUAAAGCUCUGUUGUAAGAGAAGAACGAGUGUGAGAGUGGAAAGUUCACACUGUGACGGUAUCUUACCAGAAAGGGACGGCUAACUACGUGCCAGCAGCCGCGGUAAUACGUAGGUCCCGAAGCGUUGCCCGGAUUUAUUGGGCGUAAAGCGAGCGCAGGCGGUUAGAUAAGUCUGAAGUUAAAGGCUGUGGCUUAACCAUAGUAGGCUUUGGAAACUGCUUAACUUGAGUGCAAGAGGGGAGAGUGGAAAUUCCUUUUNAACCGGUGAAAUGCGAAAAUAUAUGGAGAACACACCGGGGGCGAAAGCGCGCUUCUCUGGCUUGUAACUGACGCUGAGGCUCGAAAGCGUGGGGAGCAAACAGGAUUAGAUACCCUGGUAGUCCACGCUGUAAACGAUGAGUGCUAGGUGUUAGACCCUUUCCGGGGUUUAGUGCCGUAGCUAACGCAUUAAGCACUCCGCCUGGGGAGUACGACCGCAAGGUUG
rnacentral:rRNA from 1 species